rnacentral:rRNA from 1 species
GAUCCUGGCUCAGAAUCAACGCUGGCGGCGUGCCUCAGACAUGCAAGUCGAACGAGAACCUCCCUUCGGGGAGGGGAAAGUGGCGCACGGGUGAGUAACACGUGGGUAAUUUACCUUUGGGUGGGGAACAACAGCCGGAAACGGCUGCUAAUACCGCAUAAUGCAGCGGCUCGACAUCGAGACAGUUGUUAAAGCGGGGGAUCGCAAGACCUCGCGCCUGAAGAGAAGCCCGCGGCAGAUUAGCUAGUUGGUAGGGUAAUGGCCUACCAAGGCGACGAUCUGUAACCGGCCUGAGAGGGCGGUCGGUCACACUGACACUGACAUACGGGUCAGACUCCUACGGGAGGCGGCAGUCGGGAAUUUUGGGCAAUGGGCGAAAGCCUGACCCAGCAACGCCGCGUGAAGGAUGAAGCUUUUCGGAGUGUAAACUUCACAAGAAUGGGAAGAAUAAGUGUGGGAUAAUACCCUUCACGAUGACGGUACCAUUUGUAAGCUCCGGCUAACUCCGUGCCAGCAGCCGCGGUAAUACGGGGGGAGCAAGCGUUGUUCGGAUUUACUGGGCGUAAAGGGCGCGUAGGCGGCGCGACAAGUCACUUGUGAAAUCUCUGGGCUCAACCCAGAACGGUCAAGUGAUACUGUCGUGCUAGAGUGCGGAAGGGGCAACUGGAAUUCUUGGUGUAGCGGUGAAAU